AAAAAAGGUAAGCUACUAAGAGCGAAUGGUGGAUGCCUUGACUGGUAAAGGCGAUGAAGGACGUACUAGACUGCGAUAAGCUACGGGGAGCUGUCAAGAAGCUUUGAUCCGUAGAUUUCCGAAUGGGGCAACCCAAUGUAUAGAGAUAUACAUUACCUAUAUAGGAGCGAACGAGGGGAAUUGAAACAUCUUAGUACCCUCAGGAAAAGAAAUCAAUAGAGAUUGCGUCAGUAGCGGCGAGCGAAAGCGCAAGAGGGCAAACCCAGUGCUUGCACUGGGGGUUGUAGGACUGCAAUGUGCAAGAGGUGAGUUUAGCAGAACAUUCUGGAAAGUAUAGCCAUAGAGGGUGAUAGUCCCGUAUGCGAAAAACAAACCUUAGCUAGCAGUAUCCUGAGUAGGGCGGGACACGAGAAAUCCUGUCUGAAGCUGGGUCGACCACGAUCCAACCCUAAAUACUAAUACCAGAUCGAUAGUGCACAAGUACCGUGAGGGAAAGGUGAAAAGAACUGAGGUGAUCAGAGUGAAAUAGAACCUGAAACCAUUUGCUUACAAUCAUUCAGAGCCCUAUGUAGCAAUACAGGGUGAUGGACUGCCUUUUGCAUAAUGAGCCUGCGAGUUGUGGUGUCUGGCAAGGUUAAGCAAACGCGAAGCCGUAGCGAAAGCGAGUCUGAAUAGGGCGCUUAGUCAGAUGCUGCAGACCCGAAACGAAGUGAUCUAUCCAUGAGCAAGUUGAAGCUAGUGUAAGAACUAGUGGAGGACUGAACCCAUAGGCGUUGAAAAGCCCCGGGAUGACUUGUGGAUAGGGGUGAAAGGCCAAUCAAACUUCGUGAUAGCUGGUUCUCUCCGAAAUAUAUUUAGGUAUAGCGUUGUGUCGUAAUAUAAGGGGGUAGAGCACUGAAUGGGCUAGGGCAUACACCAAUGUACCAAACCCUAUCAAACUCCGAAUACCUUAUAUGUAAUCACAGCAGUCAGGCGGCGAGUGAUAAAAUCCGUCGUCAAGAGGGAAACAACCCAGACUACCAGCUAAGGUCCCUAAAUCUUACUUAAGUGGAAAACGAUGUGAAGUUACUUAAACAACCAGGAGGUUGGCUUAGAAGCAGCCAUCCUUUAAAGAAAGCGUAAUAGCUCACUGGUCUAGUGAUUUUGCGCGGAAAAUAUAACGGGGCUAAAGUAAGUA
rnacentral:rRNA from 1 species